rnacentral:tRNA from 2 species
GCAGGUGUGCCGGAGUGGUCAAACGGGAUGGACUCAAAAUCCAUUAGCUUAGUGCUUACGCAGGUUCGAGUCCUGUCACCUGCA